rnacentral:tRNA from 1 species
AACAUUAUAGCAUAAUUGGAAUUGCGUUAGUUUGCAAAAUUAUGAGUAUAGGUUCGACUCCUGUUAAUGUUU